GAUAAUAUUUAACUACUGACAUGCAUAUGGAUGACUAUCAAGGAUGGUUGAAAAGCUAGCUAAUGAAUACUAAUCUGAGGCACUGGGGGCUGUACUUAUGCUGAUCUAAUUGUAAGUUUGUAUGUCAUACCAUAUUCGUCAGGCUCAGAAACCAAAGAUGGAAAUGCUAUGUUCAAGUUUGUGGCACUUAGGCUGUAUUUCUCAUUUUUCAGUAUUUUGGCAUCGAAGUAUGUUCUCUUUUUUUUCUGGAUUUAUUUCUGGUGCUUUGAAGCAUCGGCUUGGCUCAAUUUGAGAACUUGCAAUGCAUGUGUGUGAAUGUCUAUGGAUUUUCGGUGA